rnacentral:rRNA from 1 species
UGCGUAGGUGGUGGGGUAAGUCGGAUGUGAAAGCUCGGAGCUCAACUCCGAAAUGGCAUUGGAAACUACCCUGCUAGAGGAUUGGAGGGGGGACUGGAAUACUUGGUGUAGCAGUGAAAUGCGUAGAUAUCAAGUGGAACACCAGUGGCGAAGGCGAGUCCCUGGACAAUACCUGACACUGAGGCACGAAAGCUGGGAGCAAACA